rnacentral:lncRNA from 1 species
CUUCAAGAUUUACUUUCACCAGCGUGCAGAUGCUUUUGGCCGGCUCUUUUGCAUUUUGACCCUUUUGUCCAAGGCCUCAACAUGAAAUCCAUGUUAGCUGCAAUGAAUUGUCCUCCUGUUUGUCGCGCGCGCCGUCUCUGGAUUCCAAGUGUUGGCAUCCCAGAAAGACGUAGAUAAAAUGGGAGAGCUCAAGCUAAUAGUAUUCCUUGCCCGAAGAUAUCAAGUUUGGAAAGCAGUAACACAGAAGAAUAGAGCCUGUGGUAAAACCUCUGUCAGUUACAGCCCUUAGGCAGCCAUUCAUAAAAAAAAUGUUAAUAUUGGUGAAGGUGUGGUAGUCCUGGACCAUUGCAUUAGGAGGGUCUAAAAUUCUUCAAGUCUUAGUCUCAGAUUUUCAAUCAAGGGUCUCUGCAUCUAAAGAUGACUGUUUGAGGGUACAUGCACUUCCAUGACUUCUUCUCGAGUACAUACUUCCUCCAUAUUUGAGGACCUUCCAAUCAGCAUUUCAGCUCCUUUGACAGUAAGGCAGUUGGACGUUCGCUGUUGGGAAAGUUGUCAUGACAUGGUCUUCUCUAGCUGUUGCUGAUGUUGAAAUGCAACUGGAACAUCCUGUCAGUUCAUUUGUCAGAAAAACAAAGCUGCCUAAGGUGGAGAAAUAUUUUAGAAAACAUUUAAAAGGAUGAUGAUAACCAACUGUUAUCUCCACGUUGAUCAGUACUCUUGGACUGAGGAAUGAUGACACCAGGACACCAGCCAGGGAAACCUACCCUCAUUUCCAGGUACACUCUGGUAGUAACAGCAGCUGGACACCAGUGAGGACAGUUGAUAUUAUGACUGUGUUUUCUCAAACCUGUUGUUGGAACAUCCUUUUUAUUCACCUACGGACAAAGCUAUACUCAAGAUGGAGAAUCUUGUCUUGCUUCGAUGAGGCUGAAUAACUGAGCAGAGUCGGGCUGAUCUGGGUUGAAGUUUGACAAAUGUUCACUGCAGUGGAUUCUUGGUUUAGAGAAUUGAUGCUGAAGAAAUGGAGGAAAAUGAAUGAAAAUGAAAAAUUUCAGAAGGAAUAAUGUUACUGAAAAGUGAAGUAGACUUCAGAAAGAUGACUGUUCAAGGUUCAAUGCAGCUAUUAAUGGAGCUCUACAAUAGACCACCUCUCAAUGUUUCUCUUCCCCUUGGUUGGAUUCAACCUCCACACUUAAGGACGCCCAAGUUGGCAUUCCAGCUACGUUGACAGUAAGACGGCUGAACUCUUACAAGAAAAGCUGGUAUCCUGGGAUGUUCUCAAACUGUCACUGCAGUUGAAAUAUGACUGGAAUAUGCUGCCAGUUCACUGUAACACAUAACUGCUCAAGACAGAAUUAUUUUUAAUAUUUAGCAACUUUUAGAAAGGUUAAUUAAGAAUAAAUGUAAAUCUUAUUUUAAUCCUCCUUUCUGUAAUAUUUGUCAUUGUCAUCUAUAUGCUCUGAGAAUGUUGUGGUACAUCGUGAUAAUAUCUCAUCCAUGUUUGUAUUUAUUUCUAUACUGAUGCAACUUAUUGAGAAUUGGUUGAUCAAUCUUGUUCUUUCUCCAUAGUAACUGCAGUACUACACGCUAGUUGUAAAUUUUGAAAAUUUGGUGGUACUGUAUGUGAAGACAAUAUCUUCCACAAUCAUGUUUUUCCCUCUGAUAACUAAGACUUUUGCCUCAAUAUAUAUAUCAGGACUUAACUAUGGGUAAUGAAUACUGAAACAGUAUCAGAAAUCACAAUCAGUUUUGGCACUGAAAUUUCACACCUCUUGUUGGAUGACUGCUGUUAUAAAGGGGUGUAGCAGCUACAGAGAAACUCAACUCAGCAUUUUCUUUCUCUCAGGUGGAUGCUGUCAUCUCUUACUAAUACAAGAAGCUGUCCUCAUUUUCAGGUCCACUGGUGGCAAUUUAAAUAACAGUUGGACACCAACAAGGAAGGCUGACUUAUGUUCCUGAAGCUUAAACAUGAUUCAUCCUGCUGAUCCACUCAAAGCUGCUCAAGAGAGAGGAAUAUUUUUUGGAAGCUAAGUAGAUGUUGUUGUCAAUUAGGAGGACCCUUCCUGGUUUCUAACAGCACAUUUGUGUCAUGGAGUCUUCAGCAACCUUAAACUAACCUUCAUCUCCACAUAAGUAGACUUGGACUAACUGAGCACCAGCAAGAUGGAUGCUGUUAUCUGUUACAAUAACCUACCCUUGUUUCCAAGUACAGUGUGAUAACAACAAUGGCUUGACAGCAUUGAAUAGUGUUUCUCAAACUGUGGCUGGAACAUCCUGCUGAGUCACUUGAAGACAAAGCUGCUCAAGAUUGAGAAUCUUGUCUUGCUUCGAUGAGGCUGAAUAACUGAGCAGAGUCGGGCUGAUCUGGGUUGAAGUUUGACAAAUGUUCACUGCAGUGGAUUCUUGGUUUAGAGAAUUGAUGCUGAAGAAAUGGAGGAAAAUGAAUGAAAAUGAAAAAUUUCAGAAGGAAUAAUGUUACUGAAAAGUGAAGUAGACUUCAGAAAGAUGACUGUUCAAGGUUCAAUGCAGCUAUUAAUGGAGCUCUACAAUAGACCACCUCUCAAUGUUUCUCUUCCCCUUGGUUGGAUUCAACCUCCACACUUAAGGACGCCCAAGUUGGCAUUCCAGCUACGUUGACAGUAAGACGGCUGAACUCUUACAAGAAAAGCUGGUAUCCUGGGAUGUUCUCAAACUGUCACUGCAGUUGAAAUAUGACUGGAAUAUGCUGCCAGUUCACUGUAACACAUAACUGCUCAAGACAGAAUUAUUUUUAAUAUUUAGCAACUUUUAGAAAGGUUAAUUAAGAAUAAAUGUAAAUCUUAUUUUAAUCCUCCUUUCUGUAAUAUUUGUCAUUGUCAUCUAUAUGCUCUGAGAAUGUUGUGGUACAUCGUGAUAAUAUCUCAUCCAUGUUUGUAUUUAUUUCUAUACUGAUGCAACUUAUUGAGAAUUGGUUGAUCAAUCUUGUUCUUUCUCCAUAGUAACUGCAGUACUACACGCUAGUUGUAAAUUUUGAAAAUUUGGUGGUACUGUAUGUGAAGACAAUAUCUUCCACAAUCAUGUUUUUCCCUCUGAUAACUAAGACUUUUGCCUCAAUAUAUAUAUCAGGACUUAACUAUGGGUAAUGAAUACUGAAACAGUAUCAGAAAUCACAAUCAGUUUUGGCACUGAAAUUUCACACCUCUUGUUGGAUGACUGCUGUUAUAAAGGGGUGUAGCAGCUACAGAGAAACUCAACUCAGCAUUUUCUUUCUCUCAGGUGGAUGCUGUCAUCUCUUACUAAUACAAGAAGCUGUCCUCAUUUUCAGGUCCACUGGUGGCAAUUUAAAUAACAGUUGGACACCAACAAGGAAGGCUGACUUAUGUUCCUGAAGCUUAAACAUGAUUCAUCCUGCUGAUCCACUCAAAGCUGCUCAAGAGAGAGGAAUAUUUUUUGGAAGCUAAGUAGAUGUUGUUGUCAAUUAGGAGGACCCUUCCUGGUUUCUAACAGCACAUUUGUGUCAUGGAGUCUUCAGCAACCUUAAACUAACCUUCAUCUCCACAUAAGUAGACUUGGACUAACUGAGCACCAGCAAGGUACUUAAAGCUUUCUCUUGUCACUGGAACUUCGUUCCGAUGAACAGAGCUUCCAGAGCUCCUCAUGAUGUAAGUUAGUAGUUACUGGUAAGUGUAAGCCUGAGUUAAAUCUUCAAUCUUCCUUAGUUUCUGUUAUAUUUGCUAGUCAAGACUAAUACAAGUUCUAAAAAUUUUGUGGUACACCAAGACAAUCAAAUUUCUUUUGAAUUAUGCUUUAGAAUCCUCCUCCUCUGGAGCUAGCCUGUUGUUAGAAGCAGUGAGAAUGUGGUGUUUAGCUUAAAUGUAUUUGUCAUAGAGGUAGAAUCCUUUCCCUCUCCAGACUGAUUCCUUAAAUGUAGGCUGCACAAAUUUGUUGGUACUGACCAAAACAAUAUUACCUACAGCCUUUUGAUUUCAUACUGAUUAUCAUCCUAAAAUGGAAGUUUUAUUUAAUGGAAGUUUUAUUGUAGUACCAAAAAAAGUUUCCGAAUUAUGGCAAAGUGAAUGUAUCAAAACUUCCUACCUUGUUUAGAAAUACAGCAAAUUAGCAAGCACUUCUAAAUUUUACGUUUUUCUCAGAUGGAUGCUGUUAUCUGUUACAAUAACCUACCCUUGUUUCCAAGUACAGUGUGAUAACAACAAUGGCUUGACAGCAUUGAAUAGUGUUUCUCAAACUGUGGCUGGAACAUCCUGCUGAGUCACUUGAAGACAAAGCUGCUCAAGAUUGAGAGUCUGGUUUUGCUUGGGUGAGGCUGAGCAUACUGUUUGAAGUUGGGCUGAUCUGGCCUGAACCUGGACAAAUUUCUGCAGCUGUAGUAGAUUCUUGGUGCUUAGGAAAUGAAGUCAGACUGAAACAAAUAGAAAAGAAUGUUAUUUGAGAACAAAAUAACCUUCUGAUAAGGCUAUCAUGAUCAAGGAAGUUUAGUAAGCGAGGAGUGUAAGUAAUCAGGGCACAUAGAAAUUACUGCCAUCUUAACUGCAUAGCUUUUCAAACUUUAGACGUGCACUGUUAUCAACUGCUUAUUUCAAACAAGUUUGAUGGCAAAUUUUAUCAAUGGAUAUUAUUGGUGAUGUGAAAGUUGUGAUCAGCCGAGUGCCAUAUUAAAGCUUUAAAAAUCUAA